rnacentral:rRNA from 1 species
UACGUAGGGUGCAAGCGUUGUCCGGAAUCAUUGGGCGUAAAGCGCGCGUAGGUGGCUUCGUAAGUCCGUUGUGAAAGUCAAAGGCUCAACCUUUGAAUGCCGAUGGAUACUGCGAAGCUAGAGUACGGAAGAGGCGAGUGGAAUUCCUGGUGUAGCGGUGGAAAUGCGCAGAUAUCAGGAGGAACACCAAUGGCGAAGGCAGCACUCUGGGACGUGACUGACGGCUGAGACGCGAAAGCGUGGGGAGCAAACAGG